UACGUAGGGGGCUAGCGUUAUCCGGAAUUACUGGGCGUAAAGGGUGCGUAGGUGGUUUCUUAAGUCAGAGGUGAAAGGCUACGGCUCAACCGUAGUAAGCCUUUGAAACUGGGAAACUUGAGUGCAGGAGAGGAGAGUGGAAUUCCUAGUGUAGCGGUGAAGUGCGUAGAUAUUAGGAGGAACACCAGUUGCGAAGGCGGCUCUCUGGACUGUAACUGACGCUGAGGCUCGAAAGCGUGGGGAGCAAACAGGAUUAGAUACCCUGGUAGUCCCUGAG
rnacentral:rRNA from 1 species